rnacentral:lncRNA from 1 species
AUGCCCCAUUCUCCAGAGCUCCUCUCCCCUCAUCAUCCCUCCAUGUCCUUAAGAGAUGCCUUUCCACUAAGUAGAACCUUCUGGAGGCAGAUUGGGACAGCCAGGAUUUACCAGUUCUGGAGAUCCAUCAGCUUGCAGCUAGGUGCUAUGAAGCACCCCGAGCUUCAUAAAACGGACAUUUCAAGAAACGCACUGUGCAGAGGUAGGCGCGUGGUUGGCUGUGGUCACUCAUACUGGGUCAUUCAGCCCCUUCCGUUUUGCAAGAGAAGCUGGUGGCCAGAGGCUGGGGUGUGCUCAGUGCCACACAUUCAGGGGCGCCGCAAGCAAGCCCCGCGCAGAAUUUGCCCCUCACGCCCUGGAGCCUGGAUGUCCAAGGUCAAAGUGCCGGCCAGCUUCUCGGUGGAGAGAGAGGGCGCUGGGUCCUCCUUCUUGUCAGGUAAGCACAGCCGCCCUGGAGUCUCACGGAACCUCUGUCACCUCCUGCCAGGCCCUGUGUGCACACAG